rnacentral:rRNA from 1 species
GACGAACGCUGGCGGCGUGCUUAACACAUGCAAGUCGAACGGAAAGGCCCUGCUUUUGUGGGGUGCUCGAGUGGCGAACGGGUGAGUAACACGUGAGUAACCUGCCCUUGACUUUGGGAUAACUUCAGGAAACUGGGGCUAAUACCGGAUAGGAGCUCCUGCUGCAUGGUGGGGGUUGGAAAGUUUCGGCGGUUGGGGCUGGACUCGCGGCUUAUCAGCUUGUUGGGGGGGUAGUGGCUUACCAAGGCUUUGACGGGUAGCCGGCCUGAGAGGGUGACCGGCCACAUUGGGACUGAGAUACGGCCCAGACUCCUACGGGAGGCAGCAGUGGGGAAUAUUGCACAAUGGGCGGAAGCCUGAUGCAGCAACGCCGCGUGCGGGAUGACGGCCUUCGGGUUGUAAACCGCUUUCGCCUGUGACGAAGCGUGAGUGACGGUAAUGGGUAAAGAAGCACCGGCUAACUACGUG